rnacentral:rRNA from 1 species
CAGGAUGAAGGCCUUUGGGUUGUAAACUGCUUUUCUUUGUGAGGAAUAUGACAGUGGCAGAGGAAUAAGGAUCGGCUAACUCCGUGC